rnacentral:rRNA from 1 species
UCGGGAAUUUUGGGCAAUGGGCGCAAGCCUGACCCAGCGACGCCGCGUGGGUGAUGAAGGCCUUCGGGUCGUAAAGCCCUGUCGGGUGGAAAGAAUGGUUAUUGGGCGAAUAGGCCAGUAACGUGACGGUACCACCGAAGGAAGCACCGGCCAAUUCCGUGCCAGCAGCCGCGGUAAGACGGAAGGUGCAAGCGUUGCUCGGAAUCACUGGGCAUAAAGCGCACGUAGGCGGCUAGGUCCGUCCGAUGUGAAAGCCCCCGGCUCAACCGGGGAAUUGCAUCGGAUACAGCCUGGCUUGAGGACGGUUGGGGUGAGUGGAACUCCUGGUGGAGCGGUGAAAUGCGUAGAUAUCAGGAGGAACACCGGUGGCGAAAGCGGCUCACUGGACCGUUACUGACGCUGAGGUGCGAAAGCUAGGGGAGCAAACGGGAUUAGAUACCCAAGUAGUCCCUGAGCGGGCUGGCAAGGCGCAU